UUCCUUUUUUUAUUUUUAUUUUUAUUUCACUUGCCAAUUGGAAAAUCAUAAUGGAAAUCAAUGGUGAAGCAUAUGGACAUAAGGUGACUAUUGUGAUGCUGAUGUAAAAUAAAAACCUAUACUUGAAUACUUUCCUUCAUAUCAAGCGAGUAACAAUGUAUCCACGAAUUACUUACACAUCGUUACCUUUCUUGGGCGCCAAGUACUCCACAUUUCGCACCCAAUGUAUAUUCCAAAACUCCACAUUUGAGUUUCAGACAAAAUUUAGAAUUGUUGUUGGCAUAGACCGUUGUGACUAAAGGAUGUAAACUAAUCCAUAUCUUAACUUAUUUGUCUUUCUUUCUUUAAAAGGUUCGCAGAAUUUACGUGGAUUUCCGAAUGUAGUAGACCUGAUUUUAGCACUCAAACCGAACUGACACUGUUUGUAUUUUAUUAACAAAUUACCCCGAAAAUACCCAUUAGCUUGAGUGACACCUCUUGUUUUUCUGAACCGUUCAUAUUUUUUAAACAUUUAGCAUUCGUUAAUGCUGAUGUUCUUUUUUUCUAUACAUAUUAAACAUAGUACAGUGUUUUUAAGGUGAAAAUCUCGAUUUCUGUAAAUUAUUUCAAGUCAAGAAAAAACAAAAUCCCUUAACAAUCUAAUCUUAUCGUCACUUACUUUUUCUUUACAUAUAAAUCUUUGCAAAUUUUCGCACCCAAGGGUUUUAUCCUUACAGUAUCGAUCUUCAAAAUCGCUUUUGUAUCUCAGAUCGAAUCGCUCAACCAUCAGAAAAUGACUUCAGGUCCCGAGCUUAUUCCUUGCCCCAAGAAUGCCGCUUCCGAUUGUUAGACGAGCAUUUCCGAUGCAGCACUUGGAAAUCUAACUGAACACAGUAUUCCUAACUUUGUUGCGACCAAUACUAGCGAACUAGAAGCGGUGCAGAUUGGCAAUCGCAGAUACACAACUCACACCCGCAAAUCACGAACGCGAUUCGCAAAACGGGCUGCUCACUUAGUGUUUGUUAGAUAUGGGUUCUAAAAGAGAUCCUGAUCCUCCGUCAAAGAACUUUCCGUCGACCGCAUCCCGCUUCUUGUUCUUCGAACGAAAGCGUCCGGAUCGGGAGAUGGAGAAGUUGCGCCACUGGUGGCCAUAGGCGCACCGCUUCUCCUCAUCGCUCAGCAC